rnacentral:rRNA from 1 species
GACGAACGCUGGCGGCGUGCUUAACACAUGCAAGUCGAACGCUGAAGCUCAGCUUUUGUUGGGUGGAUGAGUGGCGAACGGGUGAGUAACACGUGAGUAACCUGCCUCCUUCUUUGGGAUAACGCCCGGAAACGGGUGCUAAUACUGGAUAUUCACUGGUCUUCGCAUGGGGGUUGGUGGAAAGGGUUUUUCUGGUGGGGGAUGGGCUCGCGGCCUAUCAGCUUGUUGGUGGGGUGAUGGCCUACCAAGGCUUUGACGGGUAGCCGGCCUGAGAGGGUGACCGGUCACAUUGGGACUGAGAUGCGGCCCAGACGCCUACGGGAGGCAGCAGUGGGGAAUAUUGCACAAUGGGCGCAAGCCUGAUGCAGCGACGCCGCGUGAGGGAUGGAGGCCUUCGGGUUGUGAACCUCUUUCGCUCAUGGUCAAGCCGCAACAAUGGUUGUGGUGAGGGUAGUGGGUAAAGAAGCGCCGGCUAACUACGUG